rnacentral:misc_RNA from 1 species
UUUUCGUAGGUGAACCUGCGGAAGGAUCAUUAAAAAAUGUGGUACCGAUUGUUGGUACUAAAUUAAUCAUCCUACCCUUUGUGAAUUUGUUUGUAACGAAUUUUUUUAAAUGGGUCUUUCCCUAAGUUGGAUUGUAGUAAAAUACAAAAAAGACUUAGGGGAAUGACUUUUUUAAAAGACUUUUUUUUAAAUUAAAACUUUUUGUAUUCAUUUGUCUAAAAUUUAUUUUUAUAAUAUAAAAACAACUUUUGACAAUGGAUCUCUUGGUUCUCGCAACGAUGAAGAACGCAGCAAAAUGCGAUAAGUAGUGUGAAUUGCAGAAUACGUGAAUCAUCGAAUCUUCGAACGCAUAUUGCACUUUUUUAGUUUACUAAAAAAGUAUGUCUGUUUGAGUAUCAGUAAAAUAUUCUCACAAACAUAUUUGUUUGUGGUUAUGAGUGUUUUACAACGAUAAACAAGUUGUUUCACUUUAAAUUCUUUUUAAUUGAAUUUUACCAAUUCAUAAAUUAAAAUUGGAUAAAAUUUUCCUUUAACGAGGAAUAACCUAAACAAUUUUAAAUUAUAUGGAUUAAUAAACAUUCAUCAAAGGAAUCUAAUACAACAAAUAACUUGAUCUCAAAUCAGAUAAGAGUACCCGCUGAACUUAAGCAUAUCAAUAAGCGGAGGAAAAGAAACUAACAAGGAUUCCCUUAGUAACGGCGAGUGAAGCGGGAAGAGCUCAAAUUUGAAAUCUUCAAGGUUUGACCUUGACGAAUUGUAGUUUAUAGAAGUGUUUUCUGUUGGAGUUUUGGUAAAAGUUCUUUGGAAUAGGACAUCAUAGAGGGUGAGAAUCCCGUAUUUGACCAUGACUUUCCAGCUGUGUGAUACACUUUCAAAGAGUCGGAUUGUUUGGGAAUGCAGUCCAAAAUGGGUGGUAAAUUUCAUCUAAAGCUAAAUAUUGGCGAGAGACCGAUAGCGAACAAGUACCGUGAGGGAAAGAUGAAAAGAACUUUGAAAAGAGAGUUAAACAGUACGUGAAAUUGUCAAAAGGGAAGCGUUUGACACCAGUGUUGUUUUCUCGAAAAUCAAUUUAAUGAGUUCUUGUUUUUAAGUUAUUGUGACUUUAUCAGCGCAUUUCUUAUUUUACUUGACUCAUUGAAUGCACUUUUCGUUUAACAAGUCAACAUCAAUUUCUUUGGUGGUAAAAAGUUUAAAGAAAGGUGGCUUGGACUUCGGUUCAAGUGUUUAUAGCCUUUUUUCUAUGCCAUCGGAGAGAUUGAGGUCUGCAGCGUAGAUCCUUCGGGGUUAGAUACCUUUGUGCUAAGUUAUAGUUUUUUAUAGACAACUUGUUGACUAUAAUUAACCCUGUGAUUUACUCGCUUAGGCUAUUUUACCUACGCUUAGGAUGUUG